rnacentral:tRNA from 1 species
GGGGCCUUAGUUUAAUGGGAAAACCUCGGCUUUGCAAGCCGGAGAUGAGAGUUCGAUUCUCUCAGGUUCCACCA